GAUUUUAAAUAAUGACUUUAAUUUUCUUUUUAUGGCUUUCUUACAAGUGCUAAAACAAUUCAUUGCAACAUUUAAUGUUUGUUACAUCUAAUGGAGAAUAAUAAGACCGAAAUUAUUAAGUUUGUUUAUGCUAUGAUCAUAUUUAUUUUUGUAUUUUUUGAUGUAAGUGAUGUAAUCGCUGGAGAAUCUUGGUUUUGUUUUCAGGACAUGACUUGUCCUCAUAAUUUGUGUUUUCCUUCGAAAGCAGUUUGUAUUAGCUCUCAAUGUAUAUGCAUCUAACUUUUACAGUUAAGUUCAAAGUUCAUUUUAUGUUAUUUACAAGCUUAUAGUUUUAUUUACAUUUCAUGAUGUUUUCACUCUUCUUACGAUUACUUUAACAUUUUGAUUUAUAUUACUUCGUCCUUGUGAUUUUCUUGAGAGGUCCUGAAGCAUGUUAAGUAUAUUAUGCAAGUGUAGUCUCAUUUGUUUUCUUUUAGAAGAUGGAGAACACCAAUGUCGCACCAUAAUUAUAUACUUUGACAAUUAAAGUGCAUUUGAUGAAGACCUACACAGAGCAAUGAGAAAACAAACUAUGAAUAACAUAAUUCAUAAUUUUAGAACAAAUUAUUGUUUGCUUCAUUUUGAUUUUUUCUUCUUGAUCAAUUUGUUUGAUCUAAUUUAUAUAUAGUUUUAGAAAACUAAAUAAAGUGAGGUUUGGAACAUGCAUGUAAUGUCAUUAAGUAUCUUCUAUCAAUUUGUACGCGAAGUUUGUAUGUGCA